rnacentral:rRNA from 1 species
AAUGCUGACAUAAGUAACGAUAAAGCGGGUGAAAAGCCCGCUCGCCGGAAGACCAAGGGUUCCUGUCCAACGUUAAUCGGGGCAGGGUGAGUCGACCCCUAAGGCGAGGCCGAAAGGCGUAGUCGAUGGGAAACAGGUUAAUAUUCCUGUACUUGGUGUUACUGCGAAGGGGGGACGGAGAAGGCUAUGUUGGCCGGGCGACGGUUGUCCCGGUUUAAGCGUGUAGGCUGGUUUUCCAGGCAAAUCCGGAAAAUCAAGGCUGAGGCGUGAUGACGAGGCACUACGGUGCUGAAGCAACAAAUGCCCUGCUUCCAGGAAAAGCCUCUAAGCAUCAGGUAACAUCAAAUCGUACCCCAAACCGACACAGGUGGUCAGGUAGAGAAUACCAAGGCGCUUGAGAGAACUCGGGUGAAGGAACUAGGCAAAAUGGUGCCGUAACUUCGGGAGAAGGCACGCUGAUAUGUAGGUGAAGUCCCUCGCGGAUGGAGCUGAAAUCAGUCGAAGAUAUCAGCUGGCUGCAACUGUUUAUUAAAAACACAGCACUGUGCAAACACGAAAGUGGACGUAUACGGUGUGACGCCUGCCCGGUGCCGGAAGGUUAAUUGAUGGGGUCAGCGCAAGCGAAGCUCUUGAUCGAAGCCCCGGUAAACGGCGGCCGUAACUAUAACGGUCCUAAGGUAGCGAAAUUCCUUGUCGGGUAAGUUCCGACCUGCACGAAUGGCGUAAUGAUGGCCAGGCUGUCUCCACCCGAGACUCAGUGAAAUUGAACUCGCUGUGAAGAUGCAGUGUACCCGCGGCAAGACGGAAAGACCCCGUGAACCUUUACUAUAGCUUGACACUGAACAUUGAGCCUUGAUGUGUAGGAUAGGUGGGAGGCUUUGAAGUGUGGACGCCAGUCUGCAUGGAGCCGACCUUGAAAUACCACCCUUUAAUGUUUGAUGUUCUAACGUUGACCCGUGAUCCGGGUUGCGGACAGUGUCUGGUGGGUAGUUUGACUGGGGCGGUCUCCUCCUAAAGAGUAACGGAGGAGCACGAAGGUUGGCUAAUCCUGGUCGGACAUCAGGAGGUUAGUGCAAUGGCAUAAGCCAGCUUGACUGCGAGCGUGACGGCGCGAGCAGGUGCGAAAGCAGGUCAUAGUGAUCCGGUGGUUCUGAAUGGAAGGGCCAUCGCUCAACGGAUAAAAGGUACUCCGGGGAUAACAGGCUGAUACCGCCCAAGAGUUCAUAUCGACGGCGGUGUUUGGCACCUCGAUGUCGGCUCAUCACAUCCUGGGGCUGAAGUAGGUCCCAAGGGUAUGGCUGUUCGCCAUUUAAAGUGGUACGCGAGCUGGGUUUAGAACGUCGUGAGACAGUUCGGUCCCUAUCUGCCGUGGGCGCUGGAGAACUGAGGGGGGCUGCUCCUAGUACGAGAGGACCGGAGUGGACGCAUCACUGGUGUUCGGGUUGUCAUGCCAAUGGCACUGCCCGGUAGCUAAAUGCGGAAGAGAUAAGUGCUGAAAGCAUCUAAGCACGAAACUUGCCCCGAGAUGAGUUCUCCCUGACCCUUUAAGGGUCCUGAAGGAACGUUGAAGACGACGACGUUGAUAGGCCGGGUGUGUAAGCGCAGCGAUGCGUUGAGCUAACCGGUACUAAUGAACCGUGAGGCUUAACCUUACAACGCCGAAGGUGUUU